AGGAUCACCAGGCAUGAAAGAUGAUGGACGCAUGCCCAGUGCCUCCCCUAAAGGUUUAGUUUCCAUCAUUUUGGGAGGGCUAAAGGAAUCACUGAAGCUUCCACUCCAUGAUGCAGUUCGUCGAGAUUGAGAUGGUAUGGGGACAUUGCCAUUUACUGUUCUCUCUCUUCUUGUAAUAUUAUCCAUGCUUGGGCAUCUUUGCA
rnacentral:misc_RNA from 1 species